rnacentral:ribozyme from 1 species
UGCGGUUCAAAGUUCAGUAAAAGAGUUGGAUCCAACGCCUUUUGAAGGCUACUAUGGGCUCUCCUUCUCAACUCCUAAUUAAUACGUCCACGACGUGUAGAACGGUAACUUGUAGCCUAGAUCCAAGCUUGGGUACACGGGGAAACCCAACCCCUUGGGCGGCAAGGCUGAAUUGAGAGGU